GGUUGGCGUGGGCUCCUUAACGGGAGCAUUCUGCCGGCCUAUGUAUACUACAAACACUUUAAAGUAUCAGAAUGUAAACGCGUCUAACGCAUCUAUAAUACAACUUUUAGCAACGGAUCUCUUGGCUCUCGCAUCGAUGAAGAACGCAGCGAAAUGCGAUAAGUAAUGUGAAUUGCAGAAUUCAGUGAAUCAUCGAAUCUUUGAACGCACCUUGCGCUCCUUGGUAUUCCGAGGAGCAUGCCUGUUUGAGUGUCAUGGAAU
rnacentral:rRNA from 1 species